rnacentral:misc_RNA from 1 species
GUUAGACAGCUUGAAAACCAAAAGAUGAAACAUCAAAUCCAAAAAUCAAAAUCAAACUCUCUCACAUAGUCUAUGUUUUCUCAGCAACCAUACAAAUAAUCCACAAUUCAGUAAACAUGUAAAAAUUCUCAAACUUUAUAUUGUACCAUAUUAAGUUCAUCACCACAAUGUCACAAAUUCGAAAACCAAAAAUUGAAAAAAGAAGGUUGUAUUGGGGGGAAAAGUUUGAGUUUUGGUUGAAAUUACUCUGUUUUGACAACACAACAAAGCAAUAUUAAUUAAACUCCAAUUCUAAUAGUUCUAUGUCGAAACUCCAAUUCUAAUAGUUAAGUAUCACAUGCCGGAAAGCCGUCCGAGUUUCUUAGUAGCCAAACAGGAGUUUCUUAGUAGCCAAACAGGAAAAACAAAAGAGAGAGAGAGAGAGAGAGA